GGAGAGAUGGCCGAGCGGCUUAAGGCGCACGCUUGGAAAGCGUGUGUACGUGCAAGCGUACCGUGGGUUCGAAUCCCACUCUCUCCGCCA
rnacentral:tRNA from 3 species